GGCCGCGUGGCGCAAUGGUAGCGCGUUGCUCUCCUACUAGGGAAUAUAGUAAAGCAAAGGGUUUGGGUUCGAGUCCCAACGUGGUCG
rnacentral:tRNA from 1 species